rnacentral:rRNA from 1 species
AAGUCUAGCCUGCCCACUGAUAUUUAAAUGGCCGCAGUAUUUUGACUGUGCAAAGGUAGCAUAAUCAUUAGUUUUUUAAUUAAGAACUGGAAUGAACGGUUGGACGAGAAAAUAACUGUCUCUUUAUAAAUUAUUUAGAAUUUUAUUUUUAAGUUAAAAAGCUUAAAUUUUAUUAAAAGACGAGAAGACCCUAUAGAGUUUAAUAUAAUUAAUUAUUAAAUAGUUAGAAUAGAAUUAUUUUAAUAUUAUUAAUUAUUAUAUUUAAUUGGGGUGAUUAAAAAAUUUAUAUAACUUUUUUUUUAUAAAAACAUUUAUUUAUGAGAAAUUGAUCCAUUUGUUAUGAUUAUAAGAGUAAAUUACCUUAGGGAUAACAGCGUUAUUUCUUUUAAGAGUUCUAAUCGAUAAAGAAGUUUGCGACCUCGAUGUUGGAUUAAAAUUAAAGUUUGGUGUAGUAGCUAAAUGAUUAGGUCUGUUCGACCUUUAAAAUUUUACAUGAUCUGAGUUUAAACCGGUGUGAGCCAGGUUGGUUUCUAUCUUUAAUUAAAAUUUAAUAUUUUAGUACGAAAGGACCAAGUAUUAGUAAUAAUUAU